AGUGAACGCUGGCGGUGGGCCUAACACAUGCAAGUCGAACGGAAGCACAGUAAGAGCUUGCUCUUACGGGUGGCGGGUGGCGGACGGGUGAGGAAUACAUCGGAAUCUACUUUUUCGUGGGGGACAACGUAGGGAAACUUACGCUAAUACCGCAUACGACCUACGGGAGAAAGCAGGGGUUCUUCGGACCUUGCGCGAUUGAAUGAGCCGAUGUCGGAUUAGCUAGUUGGCGGGGUAAAGGCCCACCAAGGCGACGAUCCGUAGCUGGUCUGAGAGGAUGAUCAGCCACACUGGAACUGAGACACGGUCCAGACUCCUACGGGAGGCAGCAGUGGGGAAUAUUGGGCAAUGGGCGCAAGCCUGAUCCAGCCAUGCCGCGUGGGUGAAGAAGGCCUUCGGGUUGUAAAGCCCUUUUGUUGGGAAAGAAAAGCAGCAGGUUAAUACCCCGCUGUUCUGACGGUACCCAAAGAAUAAGCACCGGCUAACUUCGUG
rnacentral:rRNA from 1 species